rnacentral:rRNA from 1 species
GAUGAACGCUGGCGGCGUGCCUAAUACAUGCAAGUCGAGCGAAGCGGGGACGGGUGAGUAACACAUGGAUAACCUCCUAUAAGACUGGGAUAACUUCGGGAAACCGGAGCUAAACCGGAAACUUUUACAUGGAUCCGCGCUGCAUUCGCUAGUGUGUAAGGUAACGGCUUACCAAUGCAACGAUGCAUAGCCGACCUGAGAGGGGGAUAGGCCACACCGGAACGGGGACACGGUCCAGACUCCUACGGGAGGCAGAAGUACGGAAUCUUCCGCAAUGGGCGAAAUCCUGAAGGAGCAACGCCGCGUGAGUGAUGAAUGCCUUCGGAUCGUAAAACUCUGUUAGUAGGGAAGCGGUACCUAAGCAGAAAGCCACGGCUAACUACGUGCCAGCAGCCGCGGUAAUAC